rnacentral:rRNA from 1 species
ACUCAAAGGAAUAGACGGGGGCCCGCACAAGCGGUGGAGCAUGUGGUUUAAUUCGACGCAACGCGAAGAACCUUACCUGGGCUCGAACGGCUUAAGACCGGUGUAGAAAUACAUUUUUUCCGCAAGGAACUUGAGUCGAGGUGCUGCAUGGCUGUCGUCAGCUCGUGUCGUGAGAUGUUGGGUUAAGUCCCGCAACGAGCGCAACCCUUGCCCUGUUUUGCCAUCAUUCAGUUGGGAACUAUCAGGGGACCGCCAGCGAUAAGCUGGAGGAAGGUGGGGAUGACGUCAAGUCAUCAUGGCCUUUAUGUCCAGGGCUACACACGUGCUACAAUGGACGGUACAAUGCGCUGCCAACCCGCGAGGGGGAGCAAAUCGCAAAAAACCGUUCUCAGUUCGGAUCGCAGGCUGCAACUCGCCUGCGUGAAGCUGGAAUCGCUAGUAAUGGCAUAUCAGAACGAUGCCGUGAAUACGUUCCCGGGCCUUGUACACACCGCCCGU